rnacentral:rRNA from 1 species
AUGAAUCUCUUGGCCUGGAACUGUCGAGGCUUGGGGUUGGACUCGACAAUCGGCGAAUUACGAGACCUGGUACGGUCCCACAACCCAGCGGUGGUUUUCUGAAGUGAAACAAAAAAGAAAUCUAGGGCUAUGGACAGACUCAAAUGGAGUUUGGGAUUCACAAACGGGGUGGUGGUCGACUGUGUAGGAUGGAGUGGUGGCCUAGCACUUUGGUGGAGGGAUCAUGUUCAAGUCAAGGUGAGGCCGUGGUGCCAAUACUUCACUGAUGCGGAGGUCGAAUGUGAGGGAAAGCUCUGUAGGAUCACUGGAUUCUACGGAGAACCACGGACGAAACUUAGAAAGAAAUUGUGGGAUGCAAUACGAUAUCUGAGGGCGCAAGAUGAUCACCCAUGGAUAUGUUUGGGUGACUUUAAUGAGGCUUUGUUUCAAACGGACCAGCGUGGAGGUAAUCCUAGGAGUUUUUCACAAAUGGAAGAGUUUCGAGACUGUCUCGCCGACUGCGGCUUAGCAGAUCUUGGCUUUUCGGGCUACCCAUUUGAAGGAAAUAUGCCCUAG